AGAAAUUUUGCAAAGUCUCAACUCAUAAGUAAUUUCAAAAUCUUUCAUUUUGUGAGAUUUCAGUGACUGAUAAAUUUUGCAAAACCACAGAUUUUAGCUAAUUUUUUCUUAACCAAGAAAAUGGGUUUUGAGCAAAUGCAUGGAUUCUUCAAAAUCUUUCAAACAAAUACAUACAAACUCAUAUCCAGCUAACCUCUGAAGCAAAAGUUCAACAACCUCAACCUUAAAAUAGCAGAACAGUUAUGUUAGUUUUGGAGCAGACAAUAACGAAACAGGAAAUCUAGGGUAAAUUUUUUGAACAAAGAGAUUAAAUUUAUAGGAGAGACAACAAGUCCUUACCUCCUUGAUUUUGCAGCCAAGAAUCUCACUG
rnacentral:misc_RNA from 1 species